UACGGAGGGUGCGAGCGUUGUCCGGAAUCACUGGGCGUAAAGGGCGCGUAGGCGGCGCUGGAAGUCCGUGGUGAAAGCCCGAGGCUCAACUUCGGGUCGGCCAUGGAUACUCCUGGGCUCGAGCACUGUAGAGGCAGGUGGAAUUCCGGGUGUAGCGGUGGAAUGCGUAGAGAUCGGGAGGAACAUCUGUGGCGAAAGCGAGGCCCUGGACGUCUGCUGACGCUGAGACGCGAAAGCCAGGGGAGCGAACGGG
rnacentral:rRNA from 1 species